rnacentral:rRNA from 1 species
GUACCUUUUGCAUCAUGAUUUAGCCAGUGCAACCCAAGCAAAGAGCACUUUAGUUUGAUAACCCGAAACUUUGUGAGCUACUCCAAGGCAGCCUAAUCAAUAGGGCCAACCCGUCUCUGUGGCAAAAGAGUGGGAAGACCUUCGAGUAGAGGUGAUAAACCUACCGAACUUAGUAAUAGCUGGUUGCCCAAUAACUGGAUAGAAGUUCAGCCUCCCGGCUUCUCCCUUCCCCUACCCCUAUUCAUCUCAACAGAUACUACAAGAAACCAGGAGAGUUAGUCAAAGGGGGUACAGCCCCUUAGAAACAAGAUACAACUUUUUUAGGAGGAUAAAGAUCAUAUUUAACUAAGGCAAAACAUCAGGGUGGGCUUGAAAGCAGCCAUCCCAUCAAAAAGCGUUAAAGCUCAGACACAUAAUGUUAUAAGCCCUAAGUUUCGACCAUUACUUCUUACUCCCCUUAUCCUACUGGGCCUUCCCAUGCAAACAUGGGAGUGAUCCUGCUAAAAUCAGUAUAUAAGAGAGCCUAACGGCUCUCUCCCUGCAUACGUG